AAUGUUGGGUUAAGUCCCGCAACGAGCGCAACCCUUAUCCUUUGUUGCCAGCGAUUCGGUCGGGAACUCAUAGGAGACUGCCGGUGAUAAACCGGAGGAAGGUGGGGAUGACGUCAAGUCAUCAUGGCCCUUANGAGUAGGGCUACACACGUGCUACAAUGGCGCUACAAAGAGAUGCAAC
rnacentral:rRNA from 1 species